rnacentral:rRNA from 1 species
GACGAACGCUGGCGGCGUGCCUAACACAUGCAAGUCGAACGAACAGGCCGUGGUUAUGGGCGGAGGGCGGAUGGACACCGGGGAACUUACCCGUAGGUUCCGAGUAACUCACGUUAGGUUAUGCUAAUGCCGAUUGGGCCCUUCGCGGGUAGGAUUUAUCGCUGUUGGAUCGGCCCGCGUCUGAUUAGGUGGUUGGUUAAGGUAAUGGCUCAUCAAGGCGACGAUCAGUAGCUGUUCUGUGAGGAUGAUCAGCCACAUUGGGACUGAGACACGGCCCAAACUCCUACGGGAGGCAGCAGUGGGGAAUCUUGCGCAAUGGGCGAAAGCCUGACGCAGCCAUGCCGCGUGAAUGAUGAAGGUCUUAGGAUUGUAAAAUUCUUUCACCGGGGACGAUAAUGACGGUACCCGGUGAAGAAGCCCCGGCUAACUUCGUG